rnacentral:tRNA from 1 species
GGCUUUAUAGUGUAAGCAACAUCGUGGAUUGCAAAUCCUCAGAUACAAUUUAAAUAUUGUUAAAGCCU